AUUUGACAGAUCUCACGUAU
rnacentral:snRNA from 1 species